rnacentral:rRNA from 1 species
UACGUAGGGUGCGAGCGUUAAUCGGAAUUACUGGGCGUAAAGUGUGCGCAGGCGGCAAAGCAAGUCGAGUGUGAAAGCCCCGGGCUUAACUUGGGAAUUGCGCUCGAAACUACUUUGCUGGAGUGUGGCAGAGGAAGGUGGAAUUCCACGUGUAGCGGUGAAAUGCGUAGAUAUCCGGAGGAACACCGGUGGCGAAGGCGGCUUCCUGGACCGACACUGACGCUGAGGCGCGAAAGCUAGGGGAGCAAACGGG